GCCGGUGUGAUGGAAUUGGCAGACGUGAUGGACUCAAAAUCCAUUGUUGGCGACAACGUGCCGGUUCGAGUCCGGCCACCGGCACCA
rnacentral:tRNA from 1 species